UACGUAGGUGGCAAGCGUUGUCCGGAUUUAUUGGGCGUAAAGCGCGCGCAGGUGGUUUCUUAAGUCUGAUGUGAAAGCCCACGGCUCAACCGUGGAGGGUCAUUGGAAACUGGGGAACUUGAGUGCAGAAGAGGAUAGUGGAAUUCCAAGUGUAGCGGUGAAAUGCGUAGAGAUUUGGAGGAACACCAGUGGCGAAGGCGACUACCUGGCCCAUUCUUGACGCUGAGGCGCGAAAGCUAGGGGAGCGAACGGG
rnacentral:rRNA from 1 species